AGUUGAGAGAAAAUGGUUUUAUGUGUUUGGAGUUUUUUAAAAUUUGAGGGAAAAUUAACUAAGGGAAACAUUGGGGAAAAUCUUUAAAUAAAACUUGGAUUUUACUUUCCCCUUUUUUUGGUGAGGAAACUGAGAGAAAAACUAUCGAGUUCUCCUCCACGUUCUCUUUCAACAUCGACGAGGACGAGGCCACCACCUCUCCUCCACCGGUGCGAUCAUCGCCUCUUCCACUGCCACAGUUGUGGCCUCCUCCACCGGCGUGACCAUUGCUGGGAUCACCUCCAUUCUUGGGUCCACCAACUUGGGCAAGACAAUUUGGUUAUGAGUCAUCGAAUUCAAAUUUCUACUCUACUGACUCAGUGAAAAAACUGAGAAAACCAUUCAAAUUUCCUUCUCUUUCUUCGAUUGUUUCAAUCUCUGAGCUCCACCAUGGGACAACCACCACCACCACUGCGACCACCACCUCCUCUACCUCCACGACCACAUCUGUGUCACCCUCUGUAACGUCCCUAAAUUCUUAAUAAGGCUUAGUGCCUUUAUUAGGGUGUCGGGAGGGCAUAAUUGGAAUUAUACGUAAUUUUAUUAAAUAUUUAUGUGAUUAUGUUAAUUACAUGAGUUAUAUUAUAAUAUGAUUGAUUAUGCAUGUUUAAGUGAAUUAAAUAUGCUUAUAGACAUGAUUCUGUUAAAAUGUCGUUUUCGUAAUUUUAACUCUCUAAGGGUAUAUCUGUAAUUGUAUGUACUAUAUGCUUGAGCACACAUUGUUAUGUGGGUAUAUUUGUGAUACUCGGCACGAGUCGAUUCUAUUAAGAAAUUUAGCGAAAAAGUCACAAAGAGAUUAAAUACCCGACUUGGGUUGAGCUUAGGGGUAUAUUGGUAAUUUGGCAAAUUAGCAGGGUUUAUUGGUUAAUGGGAAUUAAUUUGGUGAGUGUUUGAGCUUAAUGGAUUCAAUUGGGAAUUUAUGGUAUGAUUUUAGGUUAAUGGGAAUUUUGGAAAAGACUAAAAUACCCUUGGUUUGGACAAAGAGCAUUUGAGUGGAUAAGGGGCAAAUUGGUCAUUUUGACCAUUUGACUAAGUCAAGCUCAGUGGUAUGCUGAAAACCUUAGGGGAUUACACGUUACUCUCUCUCUCUCUCUCUCUCUCUCUCUCUCUUUUUGUGGUUUUCUCUCAAGGUUUAGAUAAGCACUUUGAGGUUUUAGUGUUCAAUUCUUGAAGAUUAUUGGAGUGUCUUGAGGAGGAGUGGGAUUAGUUGAAGAAUUGGAGCUUGUUGUUGAAGUUAGCAGCCAUCAAAUCCAACAUCAUAGCUUGGAAAUUCGAAAUCUGAAGAGGUAAGAACCAAUUGCCUUGUUUUUCAUCUUUUUUUUUGGUGUUUUUGGAUGAGCUGAGAUUAGGUUAGGUUUUUUUGAUUUGAGGUUUCUAGGGGGUUGUUGGAGCUGGAUUUUUGUUGAAGAAACGUGUUUGGGUGGCUGUAUCAAGUUGGGACUGAGGUUAAAGCUCAUUAUUCAAACCUUAACUCUUGGAUUUGGGUUUACCGCAAGGCUCGGGGGAAAAAGGAUCGCGCUCGGGGUCGUACCAUUAUUCUCACAGGACUUGAGGUAAGAAAACUAGUAUAUGCACAUAGAGUUAAUCGGUUGGUAUGCUCAUUAGCAUUGAAUUAUCUGUGAAUAUGUGGUAUAAUCUAUAUUCGGCCAUCAUGAUGAACAUGGGGUCGGACAUCCAUUGCAUUGAGUGUGGGGUUGGUCGGUGAGCGUGUGGAAUGCAUGUCGUAUAGGCAAGUUCAGUUUGAGGGUAUGGACCCCACUUGCCCGGCAUGAACCGUGAGCUGAAUGCCUGUGUAUGCCUCUCGCUCGGUUGGGUCGUUCCCCAAGGCUGUUUUUCCUGGGUCGUGUAAUUGAUUAUAUGAUUAAAAUUAAUAUUUUUGUAAACUAUGGAACGUGUUUGCAGGUUAUAUGAUUGGAAUGAAUGUAUCUGAUAUAUGUGAAACAUGUGUUUAUUGCUUUUGAAUAUUUGGAAUACUGUUAUACUUUGUAGGGUUUUUGUAACGUCCCAAAGUUCCUAAUUAGGCUUAGUGCCUUAAAUAAGGAGGCCAUGAGGACAUUAUUUGAUUAUUAUGUGAUUUAAUUAGAUAUUUAUGUGAUUGUGUGAAUUGCAUGAGUUAUAUUAUGAUAUGACUAAUUAAGCAUGUUUAGGUGUAUUAAAUGUGUGAAACAAGUCCGCUUUUAUUUAAAGGGGCAUGAUUGUAAUUUUGACAUGCUGAGUGAAUAAUUGUGAUUAUAUAAUUGAGAUCACAUUAUUAUGUGGAUAUAUUUGAGAUAUUCGGUAGGAGUCGGUCCUUUUGAGCAAGAUGGUGGUUUAAUCACAACGAGGAUUUAUACCUGGCUCGGGGUGAGCCAAGGGGUAUUAUGGUGAGUUACUGGGACUUAUUGGAGUAAGAGUCAUAUUUUGGGAAAAUAAUGAUAUUUCGGGCUUGGCAGAAUUAUGGAGGGGGGGUAUUUUGGUCAUUUGGACCAUUUGACUAUAUGAUUAUUGAAUGAGUUUAUUAACUCAGAAGUUUUGAAACACUCUCUAUGUCCUACCUCAUGUUCUCUUUCUAAGUUGAGUUGAUUUUUUGGAGAAAGAUCUUGAUCCUUUGGGUAUUGGGGCAAGGCUUGGUGAGAUUGGAAGCUUAUAAGCUUAGGCAAACAAUUUUAACUGAGGUAAAUUCAAGUUUUGAUUUCUGAAUUUUGAAUUUUUGAGUUCUUAAAGUUAUUUAUGAAUUUUGAGUUUCUAUGAUGUUUUGAUUGAGUUUUGAAGUGGGUUAGUGAAUUUCUGAGUUACUGAGACCAUUUUCAUGGUCAAUUGUGAGAAUAACCAUGUUUUAGGAUGGUUUUGGGGAGAUUGCAGUUUCUGAAAUCGCAAGAAAAUAUGGCCUCGUGGGGUCGUGUGCCGCGGUUCUGUUCUUGCGGCGUCACGACCCUCAUGAACUCAGUGGCCAAGUGGUGCCUCGAACUGCCUUAGCGCCGCGACGCUAGGUAAGUUCUGCCUCGGCGCAUUCCCUGUGGUUUUGAACUCGGGGCUCUUUGACUAGUUGAGCGUUGCGAUGCUUAGUGUGGGGGCGCCGCGACUCAAAUUGGAGAAAAUUCAUAAAUUAGGUUUUGGGUUAUGGGAACCCAAACCUAAAGGCUAGGGAAUGAUUCUAUCACCCAAGUUAGUAGAAUUCAAGGUCCCAGAGGCUAGGGCUCGGCCCGAAAGUCUUUAUUGAUUCAUUUCUUAAUAGUUGUACCUUGUUUUGGUUGUAACUAGGGUAUACUGUUAGGCUCGGGAGGAAAGGACCGCGCUCGGAGUCGCUAUACGUGUCUUGUUAAGGACUUGAGGUAAAGAAAAUGAAAAGUUAAACCAGCCAUGCGUUGGAGAGCUUCAAGGUCGGGGUGUACAUAUGCGGCUUGCUUGACCACCACGACCGAUGAUAUCUGUUGGAACUAGGGUUGGACGCUGAUUUUGCUGCUUAGGAGAACUUUUGUAAUCAUUUUGAAUCUAUAUCAGUUUUGAACUCUUUUGGGAACCCAUGUAUCGAAUUCAAACUCUUUAAUGGAAUGGUUGACUUUUGACCAAAAAAUUUAGUAUCUAAACGAGGGCUGUGCAGAAAUUUUUACAACCCGCCCAACCCGAAUAAUCCGCCCAAACCAACCCGAAAAAACCGCCAAAAAACGCAACCCGAAUAAACCGACCAAAAUUUAAACCGCUCAAUUGUUUCAUUGGGCGGGUUGAAAAUAUAACCCAACCCGCCCAUUAUAACCCAACCCGCCCAAUUAAGCAUUAUAUAUAUAAAUUAAUUAAGUUUUGUUUUAUUUUUUUACUAUAAAUUUAAAAUAUUGUUUUAAGUUAAAAAAGAUAAACUUCACACUAUUAGUAUUAGUAUUUAAAAGAAAAAAAUUACAAAAAUUAAAAAAAAAUUAAAAAAAAUAAAUAAAAAA